CCCGGAGCACGGCGGCACCAGCGCCGAGGGGAGCGCGUCCCGACCCCCAGACUGGGGACAAAGUGCAGCCGUGUGCUGCAGCCAGGGGGGUGCCGUCCUGGUUUGUGCGAGUUUUGGAGAUGCUGGAGGAGUCCUUGGGCUCGUUCCAGCUCCUCCCUCGCCGGGAGUUAUUUUUACCCUCUCUCAGGGGUCACCAGGACUCUGCCAGGACGCGGAGGACGCUGCCGAGGUGUCGCUAAUUCCCGCGCAUCCGGGAUUAUUCCUGCGGACCCUUAUCCCGACGCCUCCCCGUGUUUCCUGCCGCUCACGAAUCACCCGCAAGCAGGUUGCGAUUUUUUCCGACAUCCUUCACAAUCGCUCAGACAGUUCAUGCAGGCAGAUUUGAGCCGGCGGUUUUAUUGGACGGGGGAAAAGCCCACGGUGUUCCGGUCUGGUUUCCUUGCUGUGCUCGCUCGCUCCGGCUCCGCACGUAUCACGCUUUUCAAAUCUAAUCUGAUCCAAGCAGAGUAGUCACACAGCCCUGGCAUGUGGUGGCUCUGGAAGGGUCUCCCUGUCCCUGCUGGGAGAGCAGGGGUUUAAAAUCCCUGAUAAAUCACAGAGUGGGUGGGAACACCCUGCCCCAGCUCUGUCCUUGGGCUGAGAGCCUGGAGGAAAACACGCCAAACACUCCACACAGAAAAACCCUCCAAAAAUAAAUAAUUGGUUAUAAUA